UGGGGGUUUCUACUGAUAACAAAUAAAUCA
rnacentral:piRNA from 1 species